UGGGGAAUUUUGGACAAUUGGGCGAAAGCCUGAUCCAGCAAUGCCGCGUGUGUGAAGAAGGCCUUCGGGUUGUAAAGCACUUUUGUCCGGAAAGAAAUCCUUGGCUCUAAUACAGUCGGGGGAUGACGGUACCGGAAGAAUAAGCACCGGCUAACUACGUGCCAGCAGCCGCGGUAAUACGUAGGGUGCAAGCGUUAAUCGGAAUUACUGGGCGUAAAGCGUGCGCAGGCGGUUUGCUAAGACCGAUGUGAAAUCCCCGGGCUCAACCUGGGAACUGCAUUGGUGACUGGCAGGCUAGAGUAUGGCAGAGGGGGGUAGAAUUCCACGUGUAGCAGUGAAAUGCGUAGAGAUGUGGAGGAAUACCGAUGGCGAAGGCAGCCCCCUGGGCAAUACUGACGCUCAUGCACGAAAGCGUGGGGAGCAAAC
rnacentral:rRNA from 1 species